rnacentral:rRNA from 1 species
ACGGGUGAGUAACGCGUGGAUAACCUGCCGUAUACAGGGGGAUAACACUUAGAAAUAGGUGCUAAUACCGCAUAAGCGCACGGUUCCGCAUGGAACAGUGUGAAAAACUCCGGUGGUAUACGAUGGAUCCGCGUCUGAUUAGCCAGUUGGCGGGGUAACGGCCCACCAAAGCGACGAUCAGUAGCCGGCCUGAGAGGGUGAACGGCCACAUUGGGACUGAGACACGGCCCAAACUCCUACGGGAGGCAGCAGUGGGGAAUAUUGCACAAUGGGGGAAACCCUGAUGCAGCGACGCCGCGUGAGUGAAGAAGUAUUUCGGUACGUAAAGCUCUAUCAGCAGGGAAGAAAAAAAGUCCUUUGGACUUUGGACGGUACCUGACCAAGAAGCCCCGGCUAACUACGUGCCGGCAGCCGCGGUAAUACGUAGGGGGCAAGCGUUAUCCGGAUUUACUGGGUGUAAAGGGAGCGUAGACGGCAGCGCAAGUCUGGAGUGAAAUGCCGGGGCCCAACCCCGGAACUGCUUUGGAAACUGUGCAGCUCGAGUGCAGGAGAGGUAAGCGGAAUUCCUAGUGUAGCGGUGAAAUGCGUAGAUAUUAGGAGGAACACCAGUGGCGAAGGCGGCUUACUGGACUGUAACUGACGUUGAGGCUCGAAAGCGUGGGGAGCAAACAGGAUUAGAUACCCUGGUAGUCCACGCCGUAAACGAUAAUUAAUAGGUGUCGGGGGGCCAAGGCCCUUCGGUGCCGCCGCAAACG